GGGGCUGUAGCUCAGUGGUGGAGCGCUUGCCUUGUAUGUGUGAGGCACUGCGAUCAAUCCUCAGCACCACA
rnacentral:tRNA from 1 species